UGUUGCAGAUCCCUGCCUAUGUGAUACCUUCUGAAGGUAGCUUCAAAAGAGAUCAAAACUUGCUGUGCCAGGCUCACACUUGCUGAAAGAGAUGCAUGUUAUUCUGAAGGAAGGGAGAGAAAGAUGUAAUUCUUAAUAGAAAGAUUGACCUACCUUCUUAAGUUCUUUGGAAGAAAGCACACUGUAAGUC